AUGGCUAGGACAGAGCAGAAGGCCCUGACUCCUGACCUGCUCUUCCCAGGCCGUGAGCCACGGGCAGCAACAACCUGCUCGGGCCACAACCAGCGAGAACCCAACCCAAGCGCCCCCGGCCGCGCGGACCUUCCAUCGCCCUCCCCCGGCGGCCGGCCCAGCCCGCACAGCUCCCCUACCCGCCUCCAAAACUGCCGCAAAAACCUCAAUUUUGGGUCAAACACCGCCCCCGGCUCCCCUCCCCAGCGCCCCCCGACAUGGCGGCGGGGAAGGAGCGGCGCUUACGGCCGGGCUGCGGCCCGCGGGGCGCCGCGCUCCCGAACAGCCGCCGCCGGCAGGGCUGCAGCGGGCUGGGGCAGCCCGGGGCAGCCGCCCCGCCGGGCAGCGGGGACGAGCAGCGCUUCUUCCGCGGCGCCUUGCCGCCCCGCCACCGGCACCGCUCCAUUCCCCUCCGGGGCGGCGAGGGGCCGCCCUCUCCCGAGGCACCCGGCCACCUCCAACCGCCCCCGGGCGCCGUUGGGCCGGGACAGCCGGGGCGCGUCUCGCAUGCGCGGAGCCCGGAGCACCCCCGGUCCGGCCCGGCCCCUCCGGUCCUCCGUGAGGGCAGCCCCGGGGCCCGCAGCCCGGCGAUGCUCGGCCGGGGCCGGGUGGGCGCCGGGCUCGGCUCCGCCCGGGCUGAGGCGGCUGCGGGGGAAUGGGGAGGGUUGGAUUUUCCUGGGCGUUACAUCGAUAAACAUCGGGCCUGAGGGGAUUUGCGCCGGGCGGGUGAUAAAUCAACGUCUCGGGCGGUUGCGAGGAUGGAAGGGAGAAAUGGAAGCCGAGGGGAACCGCCCGCGGCUGGGCGCGCCCGUGGGAUCAGCCCUGGGGCCCUCAGGCUUGGGACACCUGGGAGGUGUUGGCAGGCCGCAGCUGCGGUGGCUGCCUUCCGUAAGGCGAGCGCCAGGCCCUGGUUUCUGGCGAAAAAUGAAUCACCAGAAAGUACCAUUCCCCAUGAAACUUCCAGCCCCAUCCCACUCUUCCGUCUGGUGGCUUUGGCUUGUGUGCUGCUGCUGCUGCUGCUCAGCUCCCCUGACCGUGACUAAGAAAUCUGCAGGUACAUUGAGGCCUGAGACACGCCUUGCAGCCAGAAGCGUGUACGUUAUAUUCCCUUUGGUGAUCAGACCAGAUGCUUCAGCUUGUGUUUAUAGAGAAGAGGAAUCUCGUUGCUUCUUUAACAAGGCGAAAUAA
rnacentral:lncRNA from 1 species